rnacentral:rRNA from 1 species
GUGAAUGUUGGCGGUGCGUCUAAUACAUGCAAGUCGAGCGAGGCUUCGAGCCGAGCGGCGGACGGCUGAGUAACACGUUGGUAGCUACCUCAAACUCGGGGAUAACGGUGCGAAAUCAUCGCUAAUACCGGAUGGUCCCGUAAGGGUAAAGUUUUUACGGUUUGAGAGGUGCCUGCGUCCUAUCAGGUAGUUGGUAAGGUAACGGCUUACCAAGCCUAUGACGGGUAACUGGUCUGAGAGGAUGGCCAGUCAGAGGGAAACUGAGACACGGUUCCCACUCCUACGGGAGGCAGCAGUAAAGAAUCUUCCACAAUGGACGAAAGUCUGAUGGAGCGACACCGCGUGCAGGAUGAAGGCCUUCGGGUUGUAAACUGCUUUUUUGGGGGAAUAAUUCUGAAUGUACUCCAAGAAUAAGCACCGGCAAAUCACG